UGGAAUGAUUGUGUUGUCAAUCAUUUGAAUACAGCUACUACCUCAAAAAAAAAAAAAACUUUACUGUGUGGUCUUUUGUCUUAAAUGUUUUCCAUUAUUUCUUUGUUCUGCGGUAGGUUGUCCAGCAGGGGGUAGUGUUUGCUCGAACUCUUAACAAAGGCGCACAGAUGUGACGUAAUUGUUACGUCGCCUUGGCGCGAUGUCCAAACAAAUUUGAAAACCUGAAGAAUCGGACCGUUUGCAGACUGGAAAAAGAAAGUAGGCUAGUUUCUGUUCUCUCCUACAAACACAUUACUUGUGGAUAACGGUGCUGCAGUCAUCACAGUGCAGUAAUGUCGUGGGACUUUUUUGUGCCUGUGUGCGUUGGAGACCUGGUGAAAACUGGGGGGAUCAACCAGUACGUUGUUCAGGAUGUGGUUCCCCCAAAACAGCUGCCAUCCCAACUCAGUAAAUUCAAGGCAGCACUGAGAAGCCAGGGACCCAUGUCGAUACUGGAACAUUUUGACACGGGCUAUAGUGUUUUACAGCACUUUAACUCGGUGGAUCUAGGGGUGAAAGAGGAUACCCUUGAGUUGCUUGUGCAAGUGGUUAGUGGCCUAGCUGUUUCCCUGCCGGCACUUCUCGCAUCCACCUCCCUCUCAGCUGCAGAACGCAAAGAGAAACUUAAUGCUGUUAAAAUGAGUGUCUUCUUGCUUUGCAAACUCACUGAGAACCUUGAGAGUGUCUCCUACCGACAGAAUAUCAUCACAGCACCAGGAAAGGGUGGGAAAAAAGGCAAAGCUGGUGGUGAAGGACUGUUGCAGUGGGACUCAGAGAGAGAGAAGGUGCUGCAGGCCCUUGUACAGCUGCUCCAGCUGGAUAUCCGUUGCCUUUGGAACCUGUCCCUAGUAGAGGAGGAGUUUAUCAGCUGUGUGACCUGCUGCUGCUACAAGCUGCUGGAGAACCCAACCAUCAGUCAUGUCAAAAGUAAACCCACUAGAGAUGGUAUAAUUCAUCUACUGGGGUUGCUCAUCAAAAAGUACAAUCACCUUCUAGGUGCUAGCGUUAAAGUGAUUCAGCUGUUGCAACACUUUGAGCAACUGCCAUCUGUAUUUGCUCAGGCUGUGUCUGUGUGGAGCACAGAAUAUGGAGUCAAAGCAAUCAUAGGAGAAGUCAUAAGGGAAAUUGGUCAGAAGUCAAGUGAAGACCUUGCCAGAGAAGGGUCAGGUGUCAAAGCCUUUGCCUAUUUCCUGUCAGAACUCAGUGCACUGGUACCUGAAUUUAUGAUCCCCAACAUUAGUGUCCUCAUCACACACCUGGAAGGAGAGAGUCAUACAAUGCGUGUUGCUGUGUGUGAGGUGCUGGGAGAGAUCCUGGUUCGGGUCCUCUGUGGUGACAGCCUAGAUGAGUCUGGCAAAUCUGAUCGUGACCGCUUCUUUGACAUACUUCAGGAACAUCUGCAUGACACACACUCUCACGUCAGAGCUCGUGUGUUGCAGGUCUACGCACGCAUCGUCAACAGCAAAGCGUUGCCCCUGUGCAGGUACAGUGAAGUGAUGGAGCUCGCUGUGGGACGUCUGAUGGACAAAUCUAUAAAUGCAGUGAAGAGUGCCAUCCAGCUGUUGGCAGCCUUUAUUGCACAUAAUCCAUAUAGCUGCAAGCUGAGCAGUGCAGAUCUGAAGAAACCUUUGGAGAAAGAGACUGCUAAGCUGAGAGAAAUGAAAAUGAAAUUGGAAGGACAAGCACCUGUCACAUUGAUUAAAGCGUCUGAGCUGUGGGCUGCCAUGGAGCCUGAGCUUCUUGCAACUGUCAGAACUGUGUUGGAACCCACAAGUGAAAAGAAGGAGCAGCAGGACGACGAGGAGGAUGGGGAUGUGGAGGAAGAAAAGGCAGAAGAAGACGACAGAGCUACUGCAGUGAAGAUAGCUCAGUACCUGCGCAUCAACAAAUACAGGAAUGCUGUUCAGCUUUGUAUAAGAGCUCACAGCUGCUUCCCAGAGUCUGAGAUGUUUGUUUCUCUCUCCACUCUCACCACCGAGAAUAUAAUGGACACACUGGCUUUAAUUUUCAAAGGCUCGGACGAAGACGCCUCAGAGAUCAGCCAGAACUUGCCACCAACCCCACAGAAGGAGGGAGAUAAAGAUGGAGUGGAUGGGGAGCUGAAGAAGCAGGAGAUGUUGGUACAAUACUUAAGAGAUACGGAAACCUUUGCCUUACAAGUGGAGAGGGCAAUCUCUGUCAUCAACAGCAUGCUCUACUGGAAAACAACUUCAGUGGUCCAGGAGUCGGUGCAGUUUUGUGUGACAGUAUGCGAGUUCAGUGUAGCUAACUCGGUCAGUGGAGUGAGGAAGAUGUUGCCCCUGGUCUGGUCAACUGAUGCUGCUAUUAAAGAUGCAGUGGUUCAGGCCUACAGGCGUCUGUAUCUGAACCCUCAGGGAGACACUGUCAGGCUGAAAGCCCAGACUCUUGUCGAUAAUCUCUCUGAGCUGAUGGUGGAUGCAUCUCUGGGAACUAUCCAAUGUCUUGAGGAAAUUGUGCAGGAGUUCUUUGGCAGCGGGAGCAGUCUCCAGUCCACUGUAGUUCAGGUGUUGUGGGAAAGAUUUACUGGUAAAAGAGAAACAUCCGUCUUACACAAGCGAGCUGCAGUGUUACUGCUGGGCAUGGCAGCACGGGCGGAGAGAGAAGUGGUGCUCAGUAACCUGGACACCCUUUGUUCAGUGGCUCUGGGUGAAAAAGUGACUGAGGACUUCCUUCUAGCUAGAGACACAGUUAUCACCAUCUGCAGCAUCACUGACCAUGUCAGGCAAUCAAAAAGAGCUCCAUUUAGACUGCCUCAGGACCAUCAGCUCUUCACCUGCCUCACACAGGCCAUUGCUGAUGGUGUGACGAUGGAAGAUCCUUACUGGCAAAGCUUUAUGGAACAGGCGGUUCGUCUCAUCUAUUUCCUGGCUGAGUCGCCGGACCAGCUGUGCUCCAGAUUGCUCCAGAGAAGUGCUCGCCUCUUGUUAGAUCAGAUCGCAGAGCAUGCAGAAGUCAAUGGGGAUGUUGGCCAAAUACAGGAUGGAUCCCAGGAGCCCAAUGAGCAAGGUGAACAAGUGAACUGUGUGUGUCUGGCCCAGCUGUUGGCGCUGUGUGGAUGCGUGGCUUUCUGGCAGGUGUCUCACCUUGAGCGCAGUGUGAGUGCUGAGCUGCGGAGGAGGAGAGGAGAGACAGAGGAGAGGGAGGAGAAAGAAAAGGGACCAGCCAGUAAAGCUAAGCAACAAGUUGCCAGUGAAAGUGCCAUGGAGGAGGAGCUUGGGUUGAUUGGCGCCUCUGCUGAAGAUACAGAAGCAGAACUCAUCAGAAAAAUCUGCGAAACCGAAUUACUGGCUGAGGAGAACCUGCUGAGUACUUUCCUUCCUUUACUGGUGAAAGUCUGCAGCUCCCCAGGACGCUACCCCCACCCUCAACUCAUGACUGCUGCUUGUCUGGCACUCUCUCAGUACAUGAUGAUAAGCCCAUCAGUGUGUGAAGAAAACAUCCGUCUCCUGUUCACGGUGUUGGAACGGUCUACUCUCCCUGUUGUAAGGGCCAAUACCAUUAUAGCUCUUGGAGACCUGACAGUCCGUUUCCCAAAUAUUUUGGAGCCCUGGACACAAAAUCUCUAUGCAAGGCUGAGUGACGAGGUUCCUUCAGUGAGGCAGACAGCUGUGACGGUUCUUACUCAGUUGGUGCUUAAAGAUGUGCUCAAAGUCAAAGGUCAAGUCAGUGAGGUUGCUGUGCUGCUAAUUGACCCAGAGCCACACAUUACCAGCCUGGCCCUAAAUUUCUUCAAUGAGCUGGCCACCAAGGACAACGCCAUCUACAACCUGCUCCCAGACAUCAUCAGCCGCCUGUCUGAUCCAGAGAGAGGCAUGAGCUCAGAGGACUUCAACAUCAUUAUGAAACAACUGUUCUCCUACAUCACUAAAGAAAGGCAGACUGAGUCUCUGGUAGAGAAACUGUGUCAGCGCUUUAGGACUGCCAAGAACGAGCGCCAGUGGUGUGAUUUGGCCAUGUCCCUGUCUCUGCUAUCAAUGUGUGAGCGUGGUUUUAAGAGGCUGCAGGAAUGCUGGGAGUGUUACAGUGACAAGUUAACUGAACCUGGAGUCUACCAGCCUCUGCACUCCAUCACUGCCAAGCUCCGUCGUGGAGCAAAACCACAGUUUAAGGCUCAGGUAGAUGAGUUUGAAAAGCGUCUGACUGCGGUUCACACACGUGGUCUAGAGAAUGUAGAGAGCCCCGAAAUGGAUGAAGAGAACCAGAAAGAAAGAGGGUCUACUGAGAAGACGGUCAUGCGUACACCUCUGCCCAAAAGAGGCCGUCAAAAGGCAAAAAGAGGUCAAAAAAAAGCCCUCAGUUUCCAGCGAUGGUGAUGACAGUUUUGUGACUCCACAAAAGUCUCGCAAAUCCAAGAAACCAGUAAUUACCUUCAGCAGUGAUGAAGAGGAGGAGGAGGAGGAUGAGGAGGAUGCUGUUAUGGCUGAGAGUGAGACCCCUAAAGUGACAACACCCAUCGCACGCACAUCCAGACGAGCUCGACUCAGAAACUGAUUUCCUCUUUUUUCUUUUGUCCUUUUUCUCUCUUUUUAAUAAUUUUAUCUUCAAAGAAAUGUUCCUUUCUUGCUUUUAUCCUUUUUAUACAUAUGUGUACCCAGUUUUGAUGCUUAGCACUGAACUACAUGAUCUGUUGACAGAAGUGAAACAGAUUUUAAUAAACCUGGCUCUAGUUUGA